GACGAACGCUGGCGGCGUGCUUAACACAUGCAAGUCGAACGGUGAAGCGAGUGCUUGCACUCGUGGAUCAGUGGCGAACGGGUGAGUAACACGUGAGUAACCUGCCCAUCACUCUGGGAUAAGCACUGGAAACGGUGUCUAAUACUGGAUACGACCAACCCUUGCAUGGGGUGUUGGUGGAAAGAUUUAUCGGUGAUGGAUGGACUCGCGGCCUAUCAGCUUGUUGGCGGGGUAAUGGCCCACCAAGGCGACGACGGGUAGCCGGCCUGAGAGGGUGACCGGCCACACUGGGACUGAGACACGGCCCAGACUCCUACGGGAGGCAGCAGUGGGGAAUAUUGCACAAUGGGCGGAAGCCUGAUGCAGCGACGCCGCGUGAGGGAUGACGGCCUUCGGGUUGUAAACCUCUUUCAGCAGGGAAGAAGCGAAAGUGACGGUACCUGCAGAAGGAGCACCGGCUAACUACGUG
rnacentral:rRNA from 1 species